rnacentral:piRNA from 1 species
AUGCCUCUCGAAGGUAGGACUUCUGUUUA